rnacentral:lncRNA from 1 species
CUCGGAUCCUCUUGCUGGCAAAGAAGGCGACCCAUGGGAAGCGGAGGUCGUGUGUGUCCACAAAGACGUUCUGCACGAAGAGGUUGGGGCUGCAGCUGUGGUUGAGGUAGCGGCCCAGGUUCCCCUCCAGUUUGGCGUCGAUGAUAUAGCAGGACUCCUCCCCGUCGUAGAACUGCCGCGUGGUCCUGCACACGGGAGCGCUGUCGCCCUUCUCGGCUGCUGCCAUGUUGGUGGAUUUGAUGGCGAUGCCGUGGGUGGACUUCAGGGCAAACCCCCGCGUGGAUUUCACCGCCACCUGCCUCUUCACGGGCCCUGAACCAGAGGGGUUCUUCUUCUCGUCCCCUUCCUCCUCCUCGGAGCCCGAUGAGAUGGUCUGGAUGUCGUCGCUGUCGUUGGCAGUGCCCUGGGGCUGCCCCUCUGCCUUGGGCCCGUUGUCCCCAUCGCUGUCGGUGCUGCUGGACAGGGUCAGCACGUCCUCGGCGGGGGGCUGCAGGGGGCCCGAGUGGCGCCUGCUCUGCAGCAGCGCUGUUUUGCUGGUGGGUCUGCGCACCCCUUCCAGUUUGGGGGGGCUGGGGUUGUAGCCAUACAUCCUGCCCAGGUCGCUCAGCCCGGGAACCUUGCUCGGAUCUUCAGGCUCAUCCUUCCUCGGCGCCUUCGCCUCUCCGUCCGCUCCCCCCGGGGCAGAAUCGGCCCUGCAGCCUUUGGCCUCCCCUCCUUCGCUCAUCUUGAAGGACGAGGUGC